rnacentral:rRNA from 1 species
AUACGGAGGGGGCUAGCGUUGUUCGGAAUUACUGGGCGUAAAGGGCACGUAGGCGGGUUCCUAAGUCGGGGGUGAAAUCCCGGGGCUCAACCCCGGAACUGCCCUCGAUACUGGGAGUCUCGAGGACGGGAGAGGCGAGUGGAAUUCCGAGUGUAGAGGUGAAAUUCGUAGAUAUUCGGAGGAACACCAGUGGCGAAGGCGGCUCGCUGGCCCGAUCCUGACGCUGAGGUGCGAAAGCGUGGGGAGCAAACAGGAUUAGAAACCCUAGUAGUCC